rnacentral:rRNA from 1 species
CCUACGGGUGGCAGCAGUGGGGAAUAUUGCGCAAUGGGCGAAAGCCUGACGCAGCGACGCCGCGUGAGGGAUGAAGGUCUUCGGAUCGUAAACCUCUGUCAGCAGGGAAGAACGGUCACUGUGCUAAUCAGCAGUGAAUUGACGGUACCUGCAAAGGAAGCACCGGCUAACUCCGUGCCAGCAGCCGCGGUAAUACGGAGGGUGCGAGCGUUAAUCGGAAUUACUGGGCGUAAAGCGCUCGUAGGCGGUAUGUCAAGUCAAGGGUGAAAUCCCCGCGCUCAACGUGGGAACUGCCUUUGAAACUGGCAGACUGGAGUGUAGUAGAGGAUAGUGGAAUGCCAGGUGUAGGAGUGAAAUCCGUAGAGAUCUGGAGGAACAUCAGUGGCGAAGGUGACUAUCUGGCACAUAACUGACGCUGAGGAGCGAAAGCGUGGGUAGCAAACAGGAUUAGAUACCCGUGUAGUC